CAUUCAUUUGAAAAAAAAUUUGAGUUUCAAAUUCUCUCCCUCCCCCACCUUUUGAGAAGGCAAGCAAUCUGAAUCAUGCAAAACGUAUUUCUAUAUUAGCCAUUUUACAAAAGAAAACAGAAAAAAAACCAAGAAAAAUACGGUUCAGUCUGCCCUUAGCUUAUCAGUUCUCACUCUUCCUGGGUCCGAUGAAGUUAUCUUGGGGCGUGGUCUUGGUCAGAGCAGCUGAGUCUUGCAUACUUGGUCCUCCUUGCACUACUACCGUCAGUGUACAGUGUUCUCUGUUUCUGUUUGCCUCGCUUUGCAUCAGUUCUUCCAAGUCGUCCCGGGCUUUCCCGAAGCCAUCCUGCUCGUCGUUUCUUACGGCACAACCAUAUUCCAUCACACACACCCCACGACUCGUUCCGCCGUUCCCUGGCUGUCGGGCUUCAGGUGGAGGCUGUGCUACAGAACGAGGAAGGGGACCAGUUUUUACUCUGGUCAGCCUGGUUGUUUCUCCAUUUCUGACGUUCCCCGAAGGAGACGCUGAGGAUUGGUUGACAAAUCAGAUGUGUGGUGCACGGACGUUUCCAGCAAGGUCAACUGGAAGACUCAUGUCCAGAGUGGAGACAGCUUGCCCCAACAGGCAGAGGUGAAGCUGGCUCCGGAGACGCAUCGGGCAGAGGGUGGUGGCGCCAAGCUUGGUGGAGCCCAGUUAAAUCUGGCACAUCUGUCCCAGGCCUCCUGAUGGUUGGAAGGUAAGGCUCCCACCAUCCUGUUAUGUGGCUUAGAAAGGGAAGCAGCUUGGCCAAAGUCACACAGU
rnacentral:lncRNA from 1 species